rnacentral:rRNA from 1 species
AUUGAACGCUGGCGGAAUGCUUUACACAUGCAAGUCGAGCGGCAGCACGGGGGCAACCCUGGUGGCGAGCGGCGAACGGGUGAGUAAUACAUCGGAACAUGCCCAGUCGUGGGGGAUAACACUUCGAAAGAAGUGCUAAUACCGCAUACGUCCUGAGGGGGAAAGCGGGGGAUCGCAAGACCUCGCGCGAUUGGAGUGGCCGAUGUCAGAUUAGCUAGUUGGUGGGGUAAAGGCCUACCAAGGCAACGAUCUGUAGCUGGUCUGAGAGGGUGAUCAGCCACACUGGGACUGAGACACGGCCCAGACUCCUACGGGAGGCAGCAGUGGGGAAUUUUGGACAAUGGGGGCAACCCUGAUCCAGCCAUUCCGCGUGAGUGAAGAAGGCCUUCGGGUUGUAAAGCUCUUUCGGCAGGAACGAAACGGUGAGCUCUAACAUAGCUUGCUAAUGACGGUACCUGAAGAAGAAGCACCGGCUAACUACGUG